rnacentral:rRNA from 1 species
UACAGAGGGGGCAAGCGUUGUUCGGAAUUACUGGGCGUAAAGGGCGCGUAGGCGGCCCGCUAAGUCGAACGUGAAAUCCCCGGGCUCAACCCGGGAACUGCGUCCGAUACUGGCAGGCUUGAAUCCGGGAGAGGGAUGCGGAAUUCCAGGUGUAGCGGUGAAAUGCGUAGAUAUCUGGAGGAACACCGGUGGCGAAGGCGGCAUCCUGGACCGGUAUUGACGCUCAUGCACGAAAGCGUGGGGAGCAAACAGG